CCUACGGGUGGCAGCAGUGGGGGAUAUUGCACAAUGGGGGGAACCCUGAUGCAGCGACGCCGCGUGGGUGAAGAAGCGUUUCGGCGUGUAAAGUCCUGUUAGCAGGGAAGAAAAUGACGGUAUCUGAAGAAGAAGCACCGGCUAACUCCGUGCCAGCAGCCGCGGUAAUACGUAGGGGGCAAGCGUUACCCGGAUUUACUGGGUGUAAAGGGGGCGCAGACGGGGAAGCAAGCCAGGUGUGAAAGCCCGGGGCUCAACCCCGGGACUGCACUUGAAACUGCGUGGCUGGAGUACAGGAGGGGCAGGCGGAAUUCCUGGUGUAGCGGUGAAAUGCGUAGAUAUCAAGAGGAACACUGAUGGCGAAGGCGGCCUGCUAGACUACAACUGACGUUGAGGCCCGAAAGCGUGGGGAGCAAACAGGAUUAGAUACCCCGGUAGUC
rnacentral:rRNA from 1 species